rnacentral:misc_RNA from 1 species
AAGACUAUAGACCUGCGGAGUACCUGCGGAGGGAUCAUCAUUGAAAUUUUAUUAAGCCGAGAAUUUUUUCUGGCUUUACAAACAACACAGAUACCCAAAAAAAAAAAAUUUCUAGAAAAGAAUUUUGUGAAUGGUGGUUGCCUGAUAUAAAAAAAGUGUUUGGAAAAAGAGUGGAAUAAAAAAAAACAACUUUCAACAAUGGAUCUCU